rnacentral:lncRNA from 1 species
AAAAGGUUAACAAGAACUUUGUCCAUCUUGCUCCCUCCAACAUUUGACCAAUUUUAAUCGUAGACCCUUUGUAAAGAGCUUCAGAACUUCUGUAAAGUGCUUUAGAAGUACAGAAGUAAGCCUAUGGGUAACACCCCUCGCAGCCCGUCAGAGGGCUUACUACCCUCCAGAUCAACGGAAGCUCCCAAUGGUGGAGUUUAAUGUCCACAGCCUUCAGCAACUACUAGA